rnacentral:antisense_RNA from 1 species
CUUGAUCGAACCGAGCCACAGUGGCUGAUCGUUCGGCCGGUCCUGCCCGUAGGUCGCCAGCAGCGCCUGCGCUUC